AACCCCUCACGCGGCGACAUCGCGGUCACUCCCCCAGGUCCGGAAGGAAGCAAGGGUCCCCGGGCUCUGUCGGGUGCGUGAGGGGCCUUC
rnacentral:SRP_RNA from 1 species